ACUCAUACCUUGCAGGGGAAAUAACAUAGUCAUGAAAGUGGUUUCUCCAGGGUGAAGCUCAUCCAUUGCACUUCAGGUGUGCUGAUCCCUGUGAUUUCCCCAAAUGUGGGAAACUCAACUGCAUAAUUUGUGCUUUCCCUGCUCUUUUUAGAAUCU
rnacentral:snRNA from 1 species